rnacentral:rRNA from 1 species
UAGGAUAGAGGCCUACCAUGGUUUUAACGGGUAACGGGGAAUUAGGGUUCGAUUCCGGAGAGGGAGCCUGAGAAACGGCUACCACAUCCAAGGAAGGCAGCAGGCGCGCAAAUUACCUAAUCCCGACACGGGGAGGUAGUGACAAUAAAUAACAAUACGGGGCUCAUUUGGGUCUCGUAAUUGGAAUGAGUACAAUUUAAACCUCUUAACGAGGAACAAUUGGAGGGCAAGUCUGGUGCCAGCAGCCGCGGUAAUUCCAGCUCCAAUAGCGUAUAUUAAGGUUGUUGCAGUUAAAAAGCUCGUAGUUGAACUUCGGGGUUUACCCAUUGGUCAGGCUUAAUUGUCUGUACUGGUGAGAUAAAUCUCCACCUUCUGAGGAACUUUCAUGUCAUUAAUUUGGUGCGAUUGGAAAUCAGGACUGUUACUUUGAAAAAAUUAGAGUGUUUAAAGCAGGCUAACGUCUGAAUACAUUAGCAUGGAAUAAUGAAAUAGGACGGAUUGAUUCUAUUUCGUUGGUUUCUAGGAUCACCGUAAUGAUUAAUAGGGAUAGUUGGGGGCAUUAGUAUUCAAUUGUCAGAGGUGAAAUUCUUGGAUUUAUUGAAGACUAACUACUGCGAAAGCAUUUGCCAAGGAUGUUUUCAUUAAUCAAGAACGAAAGUUAGGGGAUCGAAGACGAUCAGAUACCGUCGUAGUCUUAACCAUAAACUAUGCCGACUAGGGAUCGGACGA